AGCAAAAACAAAAAACCAAAAGCAAAACAUACAUCGUUCUGCCCUGUGGUUCUAAUCCUAAAAUUCGGGAUCUCGAUUCGUAGGCAACAAAGAAAAUUGUUCCCCGGGAGCCUGCGAUCUAUCAAUCUCGAGGCGGCUGCGGAAGCAGGCGAUCGGUCGGCGAUGCCGAAGAAGAUGGGCGUAAACACGAAAGCGGAGGCCGCGCGCGCCCGUCGGAGCGCUGCAGAGGCGGAUCGCAAGGACCGCGCGGCCAAGGAGAAGGAUGAACAAUACUGGCGCGAGGCGGAGGGUUCCAAGACCCGCGCAGCCAAGAAACGUGAGGACGAGACAGAGAAGCGCGCCGAGGCCGCCGCCCGCCGGGCCGAGAAUCGCAAGCUCGCCGAGCAGGAGCAGCGGGAGAUCGACGCCGCCGGCCGCAAGCCUGACCGCAAGGCCGCCCGCGUUUCCAUCCCCGUACCCAAGGUCACCGAGGCCGAGCUCCAGCGCCGCCGUGAGGCGGAACGGCAGCGCAUCCUUCAGAACGCUGAGGUCGCCAAGAAGCAGCAGAGCCGGUCCGCCGAUGAGGAGGAGUACGACCGGAUCGUGAUGGUGGAGAACACCAAUAGGGACGACUCUGUCAUCGAGGCCCAUUCGGUGGAGGACGCCAUUGCCCGAAUGGCCCUCUCCGAACCAGCGCUGCCUACCGAUCGUCACCCUGAGAGGAGGCUCAAGGCUUCUUUCAAGGCUUUUGAAGAAGCAGAACUUCCCAAAUUGAAGGAAGAGAAACCAGGUCUGACCCUCAAUCAGUACAAGGAUAUGAUAUGGAAGCUCUGGAAGAAAUCCCCUGACAAUCCCCUCAGCCAGGUAUCCUCCCAGAUCAAUGUUCUUCAUAUCCUGACCUAAUGAAGGAUGGGUUCCCGUUGGUGCAUGCAGCAGUUUGUAUGCAUAUAUCUUGAGGCUGCUACUGAGUGACCGCAUGCAACUUUCAAUCAAACAAUUGCAGAUAAUGGAGGUGCAAGUUAAUUCCAGUUGCUGUCUCUUCGAAGUACGGAUGGUUCUGUUGAUAAUAUGCAGUGCGAGUACCAGUAUUGUAUACUAAAAGAGCAAUAGAUCUUGAGACAAUUAAGACAAACUACAGAUAUUACUUUUCUUUGUCAACACUUGGAUGUUGCAGAAUUCUAGUACUUCGAUAUCGUUGGAUUGCAUA